rnacentral:rRNA from 1 species
AUGGCCAUGUUACGUUGAAACACCAGUUCUCGUAUGAUCACGAAAGUUAAGCAACAUUGAGCUUCGUCAGUACUUAGACGGGUGACCGCUUGGGAAUACCAGGUGCU